GUUGGAGUGGCAGAGCCCGGCCUAUUGCGAAAGAUCUAAGCCCUUUGUACAGAGGUUCAAAUCCUCUCUCUAACU
rnacentral:tRNA from 3 species